CACUGGGAACCAGAGCUGCUUUCUCCACCCUUGUCCUACAUCCUGUCCAGUCUCUGUGUCCGCCUCAAGCUCUGGCUCUGUCUGCUGCUCUGUAUGUGGCCCCCCCACAGCAGAGCCUGACUUGAGCCUCUAGGUCCCCAAGCUCCAUAGUCCUGGGACAGCAAAUGUGAGUGACCAUCCCAGUCCCCCAGGCUGAGCCAAGGGAGCAGGCGGAACAGCCAGGGCUGGGCAGGUUCUGCCAGGGGCAGCCCGUGGGGUUCUGGGGAUGAGAGGUAAGAGUGGUGGGUGUGGGGUGUGCUUCCCUCCCCCGCCAUGUCCUCUCUCAAGAGGGUGCGUAAGAGCAGGAGUAGCAUGGGUGUGCGGGGGCUGGGCAGACCCAGGGCAGGUAAGCUGGGUCCCCAGGGUACCUGGGACUCAGUCCAGGGGAGGAGACCCCAGAGGGAAGAGGAGAGGCGGCUCAGCAGGCAGGGACUGGGCUGGGCCUCAAGGACAGAGGCAGUGCAUGUUCUGAGCUGAGGGAAAAAGUUGGCAGGUGCCACUAGGCAUGGUGAUGGCACACACCUAUAAUUCCAGUACUCAGGAGGCUGUGGCAGGAGGAUUGCUGCAAGUUUGAGGCCAGCCUGGGCUACACAGUGAGUUCAAGGCCAGCCUGGAAUACACAGACCCUGUCUCAAACAAAGAAGACGAUGCCAGCUGGCUGCACGCAGGCCCGCCCCACAAUGAGUACACGGAGCAGAGCUUCCAAGGCCUGAGCGGCAUCCUGAACCUGCCCCAGCCAGAGCCUGCAGAGGAGGCCACCCGGAGGCGUGCAGAACUCACAGGGCCUGCGCUGGAGGCCUGGACAGAUGGGGAACUGAGCAGCUUCUGGUCUGUGGCCGGACUGUGUGCCAUGGGCCCCCUCAGCCUGCCCCUCCCUGGAACCCUGCAGACUGACCAGCUGGAGCUCCCUGUCCCCCGACCCCAAGUCAGAGCUGGGGCCUGUCAAAGCAGACGGGCGACUCAGGUAGCAGGGCCCCAGCCAGCGUGCCCGGAGGACCGGGAAUUGCACCUUACGGAUGAUGGAGCAUGUCCCGCCCACCGGUGAGGCCAGAGAGGCCCAGGCAGUCCCCAAUUUCAGUCACCAAGAGCCCGGAGACACAGUGAAGUCGGCUCUGCUAGGGGACUGGAGGGGCGGGACCAGAGAAGGGCUCCAGCAUUCCCGCCUGAGCUCUGCCUCCCCCCACCUCUAGUUUGUACUUUUUAAAAUAUAAAAUGGGUGGUGGGGGAGGAAGUAGAAACAAGAGAUGUGCAAUAGGGCUGGCAGCAGCCCCAGGAAGUGGGCCAUGUUGUGGUGAGCGAGCAGGGCCUGCUGAGCCCUGUGCCUCGCUCUCCGGGCUGUGGUGCUCACAGCUGAGGCUCUGAGGCCAGCAGAACAGGUGAUGUGGGCCACUGUGGGAGCUGGGCCCCGGGACAGCCUCUCCCCGGUAGCCAGGGGAGCCUAGAGCAGGGGUGGGGCUGGCUCUGGGGCCUCCCACACACCCUGCCUGCAAUGGCAAGACAGGGCCCCAUGCACUCACCCGGUGCAGGGCAACCUCAGUAGUGGCCUGGCUGAGGACCGCCAGGCGCUCAGAAGAACCCAGGAGCUGACUGUGCCUGAAGCUGUGUGAAGUCUGAAAUAUGCAACAGAAGAAAUAUAGCUCUAUCUCUAUGCCAGCCUGUCUCUUUCCUUCCGCGUGUUCCCAGGGCCUUCCGCAAGUCUCAGCUGCUGCUCCCCAGGGCCAUGGUCUUACUCCUUGAUAGCAGGGGUCCAGCCCACAGCCAGGGGGGCUGGAGAAACAUCUGUAGCC
ensembl:lncRNA